AAAGUUGUCCUCUAGUAACCCCGUGGCCCCCAUCUGUACACACUAUAAAUGUGAUUGCAGUUGCACAGUGGCUACACUCCCACAGUAGAUCAUCGCAGGUUGUUACACAUCGUUGGACACGUACCAGGAUCGUUGCAGUGGUUCGUUAGGACUUGCAACACAAUGAAGACUGCGUACCUCGCUCUGGGUCUGUGUGUGCUGCUGAUGAUACAAGCGAUGGCGGCGGAGUCUCUAGACACCAAUGAAGACAACCUACAGGAACGGUCUUACUAUCGCAGGAGACGCCCAGGCAAGAAAUGGCCAGGAAAUACCAGAAGAAAGAGAUGCAGAUGUAGAUGCAGACGCCUACCGCGACCCUACCAAAGAGAACUUGCUAUGGACGAAAACCUUGAUGAAGAAUAGCUGGAGUGUACUUAUAUAUUAAGGAAACGAUCAUGACACACCUAAUUAAUGCCAUCUCUAAGUCUCUGUCAGAGCUGUCGACUCUGGAAGGUCAGCCUCACGACUCGCCAGUCAGAUUCUCAGUCUCUGGUGGUUAAUAAAAGCUUCUAUGUUUUGGCUUUUA